AUGCACGCUGGCGGCGUGCCUAAUCCCUGCAAGUCGCGCGAACGGACGAGAAGCUUGCUUCUCUGAUGUUAGCGGCGGACGGGUGAGUAACACGUGGAUAACCUACCUAUAAGACUGGGAUAACUUCGGGAAACCGGAGCUAAUACCGGAUGAUAUUUUGAACCGCAUGGUUCAAAAGUGAAAGACGGUCUUGCUGUCACUUAUAGAUGGAUCCGCGCUGCAUUAGCUAGUUGGUAAGGUAACGGCUUACCAAGGCAACGAUGCAUAGCCGACCUGAGAGGGUGAUCGGCCACACUGGAACUGAGACACGGUCCAGACUCCUACGGGAGGCAGCAGUAGGGAAUCUUCCGCAAUGGGCGAAAGCCUGACGGAGCAACGCCGCGUGAGUGAUGAAGGUCUUCGGAUCGUAAAACUCUGUUAUUAGGGAAGAACAUAUGUGUAAGUAACUGUGCACAUCUUGACGGUACCUAAUCAGAAAGCCACGGCUAACUACGUG
rnacentral:rRNA from 1 species